GAAGUACUCCCUCCGUCCCAAAAUUCUUGUCUUAGAUUUGUCUAGAUACGGAUGUAUCAAGUCACAUUUUAGUAUUAGAUACAUCCGUAUCUAGACAAAUCUAAGACAAGAAAUUUGGGACAGAGGGAGUAGUUG
rfam:Triticum aestivum genome assembly, contig: Triticum_aestivum_CS42_TGACv1_scaffold_119245_2AS